AGCGGAAGGGAAGCUCAUUGCUGAGGUCACACGCUGGGUGCUUCAUAUCCGUGUCGUCACUCCCUAGUUACCUCCGGGAAGGUCUGAGACUUGAGCCUACACCGCCCUCACAGGGCGUCACCCGAAUACGGGUGAGUGAGUCCCCAGAAACCCCACGUUGGAGUGGAUCAGUCCGUCAAGUGGAGGAGGCCAUGCAGGAGACGCGCAAUCUGAUCGUAGUGGAAGGAGGCGUGCCACAGAUUGAGGUACCUCCCACCUUCCAUGAGCGACACAGAUGAGCUGAUGCAGCCUCCUCCCCGGACCUUGGAAGUGGCUCAUGGCUGGCACAGUUAGUCCAAUGGCUGAGGUGAGGCAGCAGCACGUGAUUGGUGCGCUCCUCAUAACCCAAGUCAGACUACUCUCCCGCCGCU
rfam:Xenopus laevis strain J chromosome 1L, whole genome shotgun sequence.